rnacentral:lncRNA from 1 species
UGAGGAGGAUAGUAAGGAGUUGGGGGUGGUGGUGAAGUGUAGUAGUAAGGUGGAGGAGGUGACUUAACUGGUGGUGGAGGGGAGGAGUAGUAGUAAGGUGGAGGAGGUGACUUAACUGGUGGGGGAGGGGAGGAGUAGUAGUAAGGAGGAGGAGGUGACUUAACUGGUGGUGGAGGGGAAGAGUAGUAGUACGGUGGUGGAGGUGACUUAACUGGUGGUGGAGGAGAGGAGUAGUAGUACGGUGGAGGAGGUGACUUAACUGGUGGUGGAGGGGAGGAGUAGUAGUACGGUGGAGGAGGUGACUUAGCAGGUGGUGGUGGGGACUUGUAAUAGUAAGGUGGUGGGGGAGAGGGUGAAGGGGGUGGUGGUGAUUUAUAGUAGUAUGGUGGAGGUGGUGAUGGAGAAGGUGGUGGGGGAGACUUGUAAUAAUAAGGUGGAGGUGGUGAAGGUGAAGGUGGUGGCGGGGAUUUGUAGUAAUAUGGUGGUGGAGGUGAUGGUGAAGGAGGUGGUGGUGAUUUAUAUACAUAUGGUGGUGGUGGA